AUGCACCAGCCAAGAUGUUGUCGAAAUCAAGCAGUCGAGCAGAUCAAUAGGCCAAAUAAAGAAGGCAUGUAUUUUAAAUUUUCUGUUAUUUCCGUCUGUCAUGCAUCUCUCUUGGCCUCGCUAGCUAGCAUUUCCUUUGUUUUCCUGAUCUGUGGCUCAGUGCCAGUGGAGUCACAUCUAUUGUUCCAUGCCAUAACUAAUGGCGUAAAGUUGCAUACUGUCAGCACCACGAUCUCUAGGGUAGAUCAGUGCCACGAAAUAUCUAUCUGUCAGAAUUCAAGAAGGAAAUUGGUUAUCAUAGACUAA
rnacentral:rRNA from 1 species